rnacentral:lncRNA from 1 species
AGAAAUUAACAUGAAAGGUUUGGGUUUUGAAAAGUCCCCAAAAGACUGAAAUUUAUGUAUGCAUAUAUCCACAUGCAAAAUUUUCCAAGUACACUCAGCCUGGACUUACAUGCUGAGUGGGUUCAGAAAAGCCAGAGGACUUGAGUUAAACCUCAGAAAAGGUGAGAUUUCAGGUGUUUAAUGCCUGCAGAUUGAGCCUCUGGCGAAGAAGAGGGUGAGAGAGGAUGUUGCAGGCCUUAAGUCUGACUGUGUCUACACAGAUGUGUCUCAGAUGAAAACAGAGGUUUACAGAGGUAAUUCUUAGUGCCUUGCCUCCAAAGAAGAUGACUCCAGGAUCUAAUCAAGAACAACUGUGGCAGUCUG